rnacentral:misc_RNA from 1 species
GAUGAAGAACGCAGCGAAAUGCGAUAAGUAAUGUGAAUUGCAGAAUUCAGUGAAUCAUCGAAUCUUUGAACGCACAUUGCGCCCGCCAGCACUCUGGCGGGCAUGCCUGUUCGAGCGUCAUUUCAACCAUCAAGCCCCCAGGGGCUUGUGCUGGGGCCCUGCGGCUGCCCGCAGGCCCUGAAAACCAGUGGCGGACUCGCUAGUCACACCGAGCGCAGUAGCACAUCUCGCUCAGGGCGUGCGGCGGGCUCCUGCCGUGAAACCCCCCACUGUAACCCCAAAGGUUGACCUCGGAUCAGGUAGGAAUACCCGCUGAACUUAAGCAUAUCAAUAAGCGGAGGA